rnacentral:rRNA from 1 species
UAAACAUUGAUACAUUAUUACAUUUUCAAUCCGCCCGGGUACUACAAGCACCAGCUUAAAACCCAAAGGACUUGGCGGUGCUUAAGAUCCCCCUAGAGGAGCCUGUUCUAGAACCGAUAAUCCACGUUUAACCUCACCCUCCCUUGUUUUUCCCGUCUAUAUACCGCCGUCGUCAGCUUACCCUGUGAAGGUCUAAUAGUGAGCAAAAAUGGCACAGCCCAGAACGUCAGGUCGAGGUGUAGCGCAUGAGAGGGGAAGAAAUUGGCUACAUUCUCUAAAAAUAGAAGCAUACGGACAAUAUAUUGAAACAUAUAUUUUAAGGAGGAUUUAGCAGUAAGUAGAAAUUAGUAUAUUCUACUGAAUUCGGCCCUAAAGCACGC